UUGACCACACAUCAUUUGAUGCAAUGGUUAGCGUUUGGCUGCUAACCAAAGGUCGGCAGUUCAAAUCUACCAGCCCGUCCUUGGAAACCCUAUGGGGUGGUUCUACUCUGUCCUAUAGGUUUGCUAUGGGUAUAGGCUCACUAUGAAUCAGAAUCGACUCAAUGGCAAUGAGUUCGGUUUUGGUAUAGAAUUGAGGGCAGUGGUGAGUCAAUGGUAGAUUUCUCAUCUUCCAUCUAGGAGUUCCAGGUUCUAUUCCUGAACAAUGUACCUUAUGUGCAGCCACCACCCAUCUGUCAAUGGAGGCACUCAUGCUGUUAUGAUGCUGAGCAUGACUUAGCGGAGUUUACAGACUUAGAGGGGCUUGGAAGAAAGGCCUGACAAUCUACUUCCAAAAAUCAGUCAAUGAAAACCUUAUGGAUUACAAUAGUCUGAUUCACAACCCAUCACAGGAAUAGCACAGGACCUUGCAGUAUUUUGUUCUAUUGUGCAUGGGGUCACCACAAUUCAGCUGCUGGUUCAUUUGCAACCAAGAACAACAUCAUAGAAUGGAAGUGGACUAUCUAUAAAUCAUGGGUGUUAUGCUAUAUGAUUCCGUAAUAGUGAGAAAUUUAUCUUCCUUAUCAGAGGCACUGGAAACCAGUCAGUGUGGAGACAAAAUGAUUGUAGAUUGCAAGGGGUUGGGGCCUGAGUGGUCAUUGUAUGUUCCCAAGUCAGAAGCAGUGACGGCUCAUUGUGCUGGAUCCUAGAGGAAACAGGGUAAAGAUUUCUCCCAGUGGUUUGGGGAAGCUGUAAACUUUGUCAGGUGAUGUCCUUCUCCUGGGUCAUGAUUCCCUAGAAAAGCCCUGUACAGAGGGAUUGGCCCUUGAGACACCAGAAAGCUACAGGAAGAGUCACCAAUGACCCUUAAGCACCUGCCACUUUCUCUUAAAUUUGCUUUCUCCAAAGGAAAAAACCUCUCCUGUUCUUCCCUGGGUGUUCACAGCACUGAUGCACAGGUUAAUAAAUCUCAGAGGACUCUCUUUCGGUAUCAGCAGAGGGUCCAGUUCCAGGUUCAUAACUAACUCUUGGGUAAAUCUCUCAAAUCACAUGGAAGAAGAAUUGCACAGAUGCCUAAGAGUAAGUCAGGCUCGAGCACUAAGCUCUGCUGCAAAGGAUCUGUGAUUCAGAUGGUCCCUACAUUUUGUCCAGCGGCUUGUUAUUUGUACCUCAAACAUUCCUUAUAUUAUGACAAAUUUCUACCUGAGCUUGUGACAUAGAGAUUUUAGAACACAAGAAAGGAUCUGAAGCAAAAUAUAGGCAUUCUCAGGCUGGCACGUGAUUCAUAUUGUAGUCUGAAGAAGAAUUACAUGCCAGGCUCUUUUAGCGGAGGAAGCGGCAGGAAAACUGACUACCUGUAAAGAGCUUGUAACGUUCAGGGGAGCGAUGGCUAGAUCUUUUGGGUUGCUCUCAAAGAGAGGCAAGGCAUGUGUACCUUGAUGUCUAGAAAAUGUUCUAGAUGGUGAACACUCUUAUAGCAUGUGCAUGCUUUUAAUCCUCGGGAUCUCCAGUGCCAAGCUCAGAGCCUGCAACAGUGAGGCUCAAUGUUUGCUGAAGAAUGACAUGAUGGUGGUAAGGGUGGGAUAUUGAUUUCAUUUUUCUAGUCCUGUUUAUACCUACCCACAUCCCAUCAGGAGCUGAAGCACUUGGGGUAGGGAAGAAGCCUAAACAUAGAGAAGACCUGGAUCAGGGGCUAGUAACACCAAGACACAAGCACAGGGAAGAAGGGAUGUUACAGGCAAAGGGGCCUGAAUUGAAAAGUCAUAGUUUGGGUGUGCAAUGGUUGAGGUUUCCUGGUUGGGGUCAUAGUUUUCUUGCCUUCAUGGUCACCAGACUGAAAUCCCAAUCUCCUUUAUUCAAGUGAGACAGUAGCAGUGGGCAGUGGUCCAUUCACAGGAUUACAGUGACAGUGACAGUUGGUUUCCCCCUGGACAUACCAGGAAUCACAGGCAUAGCCACAGGAGCACCUGGUGACAAUGCACCCUGCAUGACAUGGGAAGUGAGGGAGGAAGAGAAAAACAACAGAGUCCUUAGGAUUUGAGAGAAGCCCUUUGCCAAUUAAUCUUUUCCCUGUGCUGUACCCUACCUUCUGAUAGGGGAGAAGCAGUGUAGGAUUAGAUUGGAAAAGGGAGAUGGACGACAAGGAGGAGGAGGAAGGUUGACAUAGUAGGGCACGGGAGAAGAGCAAAGAUUGGGGUAGGGGAAAUUAAGGAAGAGGACAGGGAGUGGAAAUAAUCUCAGAUCCCUAAACAGGCCCUUCGGAGUAGAGCAUGGAAAGGGGAAUUAUGGAUAUUAAGGUUAUGAUUCGACCCAAAGGCAUCACAACCCCAAGUUUUGGGGUCAGUCUGCUGGUAUGAUGUUGGUUUGGCAGCCCAAGUUCAAGCAUAUAGGAAUGGGCACGGGGUGAGCAAGACUGUCCUUGUUUAAUUACUUAUCUGUGGACAGGAGGACAGAUUACUUUCAUUAGUAAUGCUGGUACAGGAAAGCUGUUUUAUACAACCUGAGGGCUUACACUCUGUGUUGUUAUUGUUGUUAGGUGCCGUCUUGUCAGUUCUGACUCAUAGUGACCCUAUGUACAACAGAAUGAAACACUGCCAAGUCCUUUGCCAUACUCACAAUUGUUGUUAUGCUUGUGCCCAUUGUUACACCCACUGUGUCAAUCCAUCUGGUUGACGGUCUUUCUCUUUUUUGCUGACCCUGUACUCUACCAAGCAUGAUAUCCUUCUCCAGGGACUGAUCCCUCCUGAUAACAUGUCCAAAGUAUGUGAGACAUAGUCUUGUCAUCUUUGCUUCUAAGGAAAAUUCUGGUUGUACUUCUUCUAAGACAGAUUUAUUUGUUCUCUUGGCAGUGUAUGGUAUAUUCAAUAUUCUUCAUCAACACCACAAUUCAAAGGCAUCAGUUCUUCUUAGGUCUCCCUUAUUCAUUGUCCAGCUUUCACAUGCAUAUGAGGCAAUUGAAGACACCAUGGCUUGGGUCAGGCGCACCUUAGUCUUCAAGGUGACAUCUUUGCUUUUAAACACUUUAAAGAGGUCUUUUGCAGCAGAUUUGCCCAAUGCAAUGCAUCCUUUGAUUUCUUGACUGGUGCUUCCAUGGGUGUUGAUUGUGGAUCCAAGUAAAAUGAAAUCCUUAACAACUUCAGUUUUUUCUCUGUUGAUCAUGAUGUUGCUUAUUGGUCCAGUUGUGAAGAUUUUUGUUUCCUUUAUGUUGAGGCGUAAUCCAUAUACGGAAGGUUGUGGUGUUUGAUCUUCAUCAGUAAAUGCUUCAAGUCCUUUUCACUUUCAGCAAGCAAGGUUGUGCCAUCUGUAUAACGCAGGUUGUUAAUGAGUCUUCCUUCAGUCCUAAUGCCUUGUUCUUCUUCAUAUAGUUCAGCUUCUCAGAUUAUUUGAUCAGCAUACAGUCUGAAUAGGUAUGGUGAAAGGAAACAACCCUGAUGCACACCUUGUACUGUUCGAAUGACUGCCCCUUGGUCUAUGUACAGGUUCCUCAUGAGCAUAGUUAAGUGUUCUGGAAUUCCCAUUCUUUGCAAUGUUAUCCAUAAUUUGUUAUAAUCCACACAGUCGAAUGCCUUUGCAUAGUCAAUAAAACACACAUAAACAUCUUUCUGUUAGUCUCUACUUUCAGCCAGGAUCCAUCUGACAUCAGCAAUGAUAUCCCUAGUUCCCCAUCCUCUUCUGACUCCAACUUGAAUCUCUGGCGGUUCCCUGUCGAUAUACUGCUGCAGCCGCUUUUGGAUGAUCUUCGGCAAAAUUUUACUUGUGUAGGAUAUUUAUGAUAUUGUUCAAUAAUUUCUGCAUUCAGUUGGAACACCUUAUCUCUUCCAGUUGGUUGUCCUCCAAAUUUCUUGACAUAGAUGAGUGCUGCAUAAGUUUGUUGAAGUAUCUAAAUUGGUAUUCCGUCAAUUCCUGGAGCCUUUUUCUCCCCCAAUACUUCCAAUGCAGCUUAGGCUUCUUCCUUCAGUACCACGGGUUCUGUGCUACCUCCUGAAAUGGUUGAACAUUGACCAAUUUUUUUUGGUAUAGUGACUCAGUAUAUUCCUUCUGUCUUCUUUCGAUGCUUCCUGUGUCAUUUAAUAUUUUCUCUGUAGAAUUCUUCAAUAUUGAAACUCAAGGCUUGAAUUUUUCUUCAGUUCUUUCAGCUUGAGAAAUGGUGAGUGUGUUCUUCCCUUUUGGUUUUCUAUCUCCAAGCCCUUGCACAUGUCAUUAUAAUACUUUACUUUCUCUUCUUCAGCUGCCCUUUGAAAUCUGUUUAGUUCUUUUACUUCAUUAUUUCGUCCUUUUCCUUUAGCUGCUCUAGGUUCAAGAGCAAGUUUCAGAGUCUCUUCUGACAUCCAUUUUGGUGUUUUCUUUCUUUCCUGUCUUUUUAAUGACAUCUUCCUUUCUUCAUGUAUAAUGUCCCUGAUGUCAUAAAACAACUUGUCUACUCUUCUGUCAUUAGUGUUCAAUGCAUCAUAUCUAUUCUUGAGAUGGUCUCUAAAUUCAGGUGGGAUAUACUCAAGUUCAUACUUUGGCUCUUAUGGACUUUUUCUAAUUUUCUUUGGUUUCAACUUGAGGUAGAAAGGAAGUACUAAAACAGGGGCCCUCCCAGGCCAGCACUCUCCCCUAGUCCCAUAUUACCCUUCUGCUUAUACAAAGGAGUCACUGUGUUCAGGCUCAGUCCAUUUAAGAACAGUGUGAUAUUGGGAAAAUCAUUUAACUUCUCUAAGCCUCAGUUUUCUCUUCUGUAAAAUGGAAAUAAUAAUAUUAUUUACCUCAUGGGGUUGUUGUGAGGAUUUAAUAAACUAGUAAUAAAACACCUAGCAGUGCCUAGCACAGAGUAAGUGCUCAAAAAUCAUAGGUAUAGCCUUCAUCGUCACCAUCACCAUCAGCUCAAAGAGCCCCAAAAGAGAGAAUAGGGAGUUUGGUGAUGAAUCUCCCAGUUAAAGAUGGGACCUGGAGAUAGGUUAGCAAACGGAUUGGGGUUUAGUAACAGGGUUGAGAAUCAGGGGUAUUAACCUCUCUCCUCGAAUAUUACUUACCCAGUUUGCUGACAGCUGCCUUUACCUUUUCGUCCACACUGAAUCUAAGGAACACUGAGCAUCCCCUGAAGUCAUCAGUUGGAGAAAGAGGAUGAGGAGAAGAAGGUGCCCUCGAGUCGGUUCCAACUCAUAGCGACCCAAUGCACAACAGAACGAAACACUGCCCAGUCCUGAGCCAUCCUUAAAAUCAUUGCUAUGAGUGAGCUCACUGUUGCAGCCACUGUGUCAAUCCACCUCAUUGAGGGUCUUCCUCUUUUCCGCUGACCCUGUACCCUACCAAGCAUGAUGUCCUUCUCCAGGGACUGAUCCCUCCUGACAACAUGUCCAAAGUAUGUAAGAUGCAGUCUCACCAUCCUUGCCUCUAAGGAGCAUUCUGGCCGCACUUCUUCCAAGACAGAUUUGUUCGUUUUUUUGGCAGUCCAUGGUAUAGUCAAUAUUCUUCGCCAGCACCACAAUUCAAAGGUGUCAAUUCUUCUUCAGUCUUCCUUAUUCAUUGUCCAGCUUUCGCAUACAUAUGAUGCAAUUGAAAAUACCAUGGCUUCGGUCAGGCGCACCUUAGUCUUCAAGUGACAUCUUUGCUUUUCAAAACUUUCAAGAGGUCCUUUGCAGCAGAUUUACCUAAUGCGAUGCGUCUUUUGACUUCUUGACUGCUGCUUCCAUGGCUGUUGAUUGUGGAUCCAAGUAAAAUGAAAUCCUUGACAACUUCAAUCUUUUCUUUGUUUAUCAUGAUGCUGCUCAUUGGUCCAGUUGGGAGGAUUUUUUUUAUGUCAAUAUUAUGAAGGAUAAGAAAUGGAAGACUACUGACUUGUAAAAGGACUCAUUACCAGUCACUGGAUCAUUUACAAACUCAACAUGGACACCAAUACUUUGAAGCACCCCUUUGUCUGGUAUUCUGCAGAUUUAGACCCCGGGGUGAUGCACUGUGGUGAGAUUCAAUGACAGGACUGCCUGAGACCACUGGAGAAUGGAGGCUGCACAGUUUCACGGAUUGGGCUCUCCUCAACAAAACUGCUUCAAAGCAGAUGUCUGAUGAUGGAUGUUGACUCUCUCCUCUCCCACUGGGUUAUAAGAUUUUAACUCAGGCAAGGGAAGUGCUAUUUCAUUUGGCACUUUCUCUUCAACAACUUCACUCAUCCCAGAAGAAAUGCUCAUUUCAGGUUUGUAUGCCUUAGUACUCACUUUCCAUUUUUUUCACAAAGCAUGGGACAGAGCUCAAGGGACACAUGCUAUCCUCUCUUUUGUGUUUUCCUCCCUAGAAUUUAAAUUAAGAACUGGUACUUGAGAAAAGGAGAAUUCUAUCUGCUGCUGUCUCUACUCCUUGGUUCAAUUUUUUGCUCCCCAAAUCCUUCCUCCAAAUCACCCUUGGGCCUAUUCUUGGAGGAGAAAUAAUGUCUGAAAGCCCAUGCUUUAACCUAGUGUCACCAUUUUAAGGAAUUAAAAUAGGUUUUCCAAACAGUUUUUAGAAAAAGGACAGCUUUUUAACAUCAUUUGGAAUCCCAUGAUAGUUGCCAUACUUUUUAGCAUCAAUUAAGAAAAAAUUUCAGAGGCGGGGCCCAAGAUGGCAGAGUAGUCAGAUGCUUCCUGUGAUCUCUCGUACAACAAAGACCUGAAAAAACAAGUGAAUCGAUUAUGUAUGACAACCUAGAAGCCCUGCACAUAGAAGGCAAAGUUGAGGAAUCAGACUGAGUGGCAAGAGGAGGGGGAAAUGGUUCAGAAGACGCAAGGAGUUGCCAGAAGUGACCCGACAGGGACUGCAGGCUGGUUGCGCUGGCACGAGUGCAGUGACGGGCACGCUGUGGUUGGGAUGCACUUUCCACAUCGGGAGAGAACGAGCAAUGGAGAGUCUGCUCAACCCUCCAGAACAAACAAGAAGCAACCCUCAAUUGGCAAAAGAUAAGUACCUGCAUUUAACCUACCAAGAUCCAAAAUACCCAUUUGGGAAAAACCUCUCUUCCACUUACUUGCUCCCUUCCUGCUCUGUACUGAGUCCCAGCUGGCUGCAUCCCCUGGGCAGGAAGAAGGACUCUGCACUCAGCCUCAGCCAUUCUCCUGGCCUUAAAAAAAAAAAAGAGGGAAAAAAUUAACAAACAAGAGAAAAUAAUCUACCCUUCCCUAUGCCAGGAACUCAGGGCAGAAACAGCUCCUUUGACUAGCCAUAAAAGGUCCACAGACUUUGAAUGCCUUUCACCUCUGCAUAGACCUGUGUGGGCCCAUUUCAACAGUGUAGGCCCUCAUUAGCACAGUACAACAGGGUAUAUACCUGAAGUUUAACUUCAACUGUUUCAGCUACAUGGUGGUGGGGAGGUAGGUUUGCGACAUUUGACACUUCUCUGCCUAUUAAGCACAUCAGGGGCCUGAAGACUGCUGGCUCCAACCACGACGCCUAGCCACCCAUGACACUGGUCCAAGAAUAAGUGGUGCCUCCCAGUUGUUACAGCCAACAGCACCGGGUGCUCAUAGUCCAGCUACAAAACUCACCCACCUACACGCUGUAGGGAACACGGACACACUUUCCUCACAGACACUCAGGGGUAGUUGUUGGCACACUGCCUUGCUCAGUGCAUGACCCCCUACUGCAGCCAGAAAUCUGUGCCUACACCAAUCACCCCUGCUCAUCUAGGACUGUAGGUGAGAGCCUGCACUACACACUUGGUGACUACCUGGACACCUGAGCUGAAUCCAUACAAGACAGGUGGACAGAUUCCUGGGCUCAUAUACCUAGUAACAGCACUAACCACUUGGUGACAGGAUGUUAGAGCUUCAAAGGUGCCAAUAAUCAAACUGACUCACUCAAGCAGCCUAUUUGGGCAUAUCAAAACAAAACAAAACAGGAAGCUAGGACACAGUAAGCAAACAUAAAAUAAAUAAAUACAAUAACUUAUUGAUGGCUCAGAGACAGCAGUCCAUAUCAAAUCACAUAAAGGGGCAGACCAAGAUGGCUUCAGCAAGUUCCCAGAACAAAGAGUCAAGAAGUCUUCCAGGUGCAGAUAACUUCCUGGAAUUAUCAGAGGAAGAAUACAAAAGAUUAAUAUACAGAACUCUUCAAAAAUCAGGAAGGAGAUCAGACAAAAUGAAGAACAAGCCAAGCAGCACACAUACAAAGCAUUAGAAGAACUUAAACAGAUUAGACAAGAGCAUAAUGACAA